UAUGCCUACGGGGGGCAGCAGUGAGGAAUAUUGGUCAAUGGGCGGGAGCCUGAACCAGCCAAGUCGCGUGAAGGAAGAAGGUACUUAGUAUUGUAAACUUCUUUUGUCGGGGAACAAAGGCGGAGACGCGUCUCCGGAUGAGUGUACCCGAAGAAAAAGCAUCGGCUAACUCCGUGCCAGCAGCCGCGGUAAUACGGAGGAUGCGAGCGUUAUCCGGAUUUAUUGGGUUUAAAGGGUGCGCAGGCGGAAGAUCAAGUCAGCGGUAAAAUUGAGAGGCUCAACCUCUUCGAGCCGUUGAAACUGGU
rnacentral:rRNA from 1 species